rnacentral:tRNA from 1 species
UCCCUGGUGGUCCAGCAGUUAGGACUUGGUACUUUUAUUGCCCGGGGCCUAGGUUCAAUUCCUGGUGGGGGAA